CGGGGACCUCUCUUCUUGGAACAGCAUAUCAUGUGGUCAUGGAUGGUUCCACCUUAGUCAGACUUACUGUGUUAAAAUCUUUCUGACUCCCAAAACCUUUGAUGACGCACAGAAACAUUGCCGCUCCUUAAAUGCUAAUCUGAUGUCAGUACACAGUAAUAUUGAGUUUGUACUCAUGAAAUCUUUGGCCAAUAGUGCUGGAAUUCAUG